AGUAAUACAUCGGAACGUGCCCUGUAGUGGGGGAUAACUAGCCGAAAGAUUAGCUAAUACCGCAUACGACCUGAGGGUGAAAGUGGGGGACCGCAAGGCCUCAUGCUAUAGGAGCGGCCGAUGUCUGAUUAGCUAGUUGGUGGGGUAAAGGCCCACCAAGGCGACGAUCAGUAGCUGGUCUGAGAGGACGAUCAGCCACACUGGGACUGAGACACGGCCCAG
rnacentral:rRNA from 1 species